rfam:Parcubacteria bacterium GW2011_GWA1_56_13 TY93_C0002, whole genome shotgun sequence.
GCUGGGGUGGCGAAAUUGGUAGACGCACUAGCCUUAGGAGCUAACGCCGCAAGGCAUGAGAGUUCGAGUCUCUCCCCCAGCA